GAUGAAGAACGUAGUGAAAUGCGAUACGUAAUGUGAAUUGCAGAAUUCAGUGAAUCAUCGAGUCUUUGAACGCUCAUUGCGCCCCCUGGUAUUCCGGGGGGCAUGCCUGUCCGAGCGUCAUUGCUGCCCUCAAGCACGGCUUGUGUGUUGGGCCUCCGUCCUCCUCCCGGGGGACGGGCCCGAAAGGCAGCGGCGGCACCGCGUCCGGUCCUCGAGCGUAUGGGGCUUCGUCACCCGCUCUUGUAGGCCCGGCCGGCGCUUGCCGACACAUCAAUCUUUUUUCCAGGUUGACCUCGGAUCAGGUAGGGAUACCCGCUGAACUUAAGCAUAUCAAUAAGCGGAGGA
rnacentral:misc_RNA from 1 species